rnacentral:rRNA from 1 species
GACGAACGCUGGCGGCGUGCUUAACACAUGCAAGUCGAACGGAAAGGCCCUGCUUGCCGGGUGCUCGAGUGGCGAACGGGUGAGUAACACGUGGGUGAUCUGCCCCUUACUUUGGGAUAAGCCUGGGAAACUGGGUCUAAUACUGGAUAGGACCAUGCUGUAGGUGGUGUGGUGGAAAGAUUAGUUUCGGUAAGGGAUGAGCUCGCGGCCUAUCAGCUUGUUGGUGGGGUAAUGGCCUACCAAGGCGUCGACGGGUAGCCGGCCUGAGAGGGUGGACGGCAACAUUGGGACUGAGAGACGGCCCAGACUCCUACGGGAGGCAGCAGUGGGGAAGAUUGCACAAUGGGCGCAAGCCUGAUGCAGCGACGCCGCGUGGGGGAUGACGGCCUUCGGGUUGUAAACUCCUUUCAGCCAUGACGAAGCCCUUGUGGUGACGGUAGUGGUAGAAGAAGCACCGGCUAACUACGUG